rnacentral:misc_RNA from 1 species
GAUGAAGAACGCAGCGAAAUGCGAUAAGUAAUGUGAAUUGCAGAAUUCAGUGAAUCAUCGAAUCUUUGAACGCACAUUGCGCCCAUUAGCAUUCUAGUGGGCAUGCCUGUUCGAGCGUCAUUUCAACCCUUAAGCCCUGUUGCUUAGCGUUGGGAGCCUACAGUACUGUAGCUCCCCAAAGUUAGUGGCGGAGUCGGUUUCACACUCUAGACGUAGUAAUUUUUUCUCGUCUGUAGUUGAGCCGGUCCCCUGCCGUAAAACACCCAACUUCUGAACGUUGACCUCGAAUCAGGUAGGACUACCCGCUGAACUUAAGCAUAUCAAUAAGCGGAGGA